AUUGAACGCUGGCGGCAGGCCUAACACAUGCAAGUCGAACGGUAACAGGAAGAAUCUUGCUUCUUUGCUGACGAGUGGCGGGCGUGUGGGUUAUGUCUGUGAAACUUCGUGAUGGAUGGCGUUAACUACUGGAAACGGUAGCUAAUACCGCAUAACGUCGCAAGGCCAAAGAGCGUGACCUUCGAGCCUCUUGCCUUCGGCUGUGCCCAGAUGGGUUUAGCUUGUAGGUGGGGUAACGGCUCACCUAGGCGACGAUCCCUACCUGGUCUGAGAGGAUGAACAGCCACACUGGAACUGAGACACGGUCCAGACUCCUACGGGAGGCAGCAGUGGGGAAUAUUGCACAAUGGGCGCAAGCCUGAUGCAGCCAUGGCGCGUGUAUGAAGAAGGCCUUCGGGUUGUAAAGUACUUUCAGCGGGGAGGAAGGGAGUAAAGUUAAUACCUUUGCUCAUUGACGUUACCCGCAGAAGAAGCACCGGCUAACUCCGUG
rnacentral:rRNA from 1 species